CGCGGUAAUACUGGCAGAACGAGUGGUGCCCACGAAUAUUGGGUCUAAAGAGACCGUAGCUGGUCUGUUAAGUCCACUGUGAAAUCUUGGGGCUCAACCUCAAGGCGUGCAGUGGAUACUGGCAGACUUGAGAGCGGGGGAGGUCAGGGGUACUUACGGGGUAUGAGUAAAAUCAGUUGAUCCUGUAAGGACCACCAGUGGCGAAGGCGCCUGACCAAAACGCGUCUGACAGUGAGGGUCGAAGGCUAGGAGAACGAAUCGGAUUAGAUACCCGAGUAGCCCUAGCAGUAAAUUAUGCAGACUGUGGUGUUGCCAUGGCUUCGGGCCAUGGCAGUGCUGUAGCGUAGGUGUUAAGUCUGCCACCUGGGGAGUACGGCCGCAAGGUUGAAACUUAGAGGAAUUGGCGGGGGAGCACCACAAGGGGUGGAUGCUGCGGUUCAAUUGGAUCAACGCCGGGAA
rnacentral:rRNA from 1 species